AAUUGAACUCUCAGCUCUCUCUCUCUCUCUCUCAAACUCACUUUCUGUCUCUCUCUCAACUCUCUCUCUCUCUAAAAUUCAAAAUCUGGGCUCCGAUCACAAAUUUGAAGAACACAAAGCUUGACUUCUGAUGGAGUUGGUUCUGCUGUUCACAAAUUUGAAGAACACAAAGCUCCUGUUCUAUGUCCGAUCGAAAUCCAGCACUCCACACUCCCUGCUUCUCUACCGCAACCGCUCAACGCCGCCGUGCUCCGCCGCUGCCGGCAUCGGACUGCCUGACUCGCUCCAUAAUGCCGCUACCGCUCCGCCAUCGCCUGCCGCCUCUCCGGAUUUCCGAUUGCUGACUUUCUUCUCAUCUCGAUACCGUUUGAAUUUCGAGUAACUGAGGUGGCUGAUGUAGUACUGCAUGAAGGCCAAACAUUUGAUCUCUCCAUGGUUUUGCACUUGGUGACAAUUUUGUGUGACAGGGAAUCAUAUGAACCAAAAGGCUUUAUGUCUAUUAUAGGUACAUAAAUCACUUGCGGAUGUUAUUGGUUCCUAUUCGAAGUGGAUGUCUUCUUACAUAACUGAUGCCAGACCAUUGCUUUUAUUUUUUGCAGCUGGUAUGUCAGAACCUUUAUGCUCACACGCGUGUGCAACUGCUUUCCAGAAGUUUUGCGAAGAUGCUACUGCGGUUAUGCACAAACCUUAUACCUUAGAAAUGUUAAUGUGGAUUACAGAGGGACUGGAAAAAUGGCACUUACCUUUGGAUCUAUUAGCAAACUUGUAUGCUUUCUUCUUGUCCUUAUUUUGGAAAAAAAGUGGUUUAAAUUUUUAUUUUUAUGUAGCAAUAAUUGUAACUUACAUUUUUAUUUUUAUCUCCAUCCAUGCUGAGGUGUUUCAGACAGCGAUAUUCCAUCCAUGUUUGAAUUUUUUUUCUUGCAUAACAGGAGAUUUCACCUUUUUAUUAUUGGAGAUUUCACCUUUGUGUUUGUAGGUGUUUCAGACAGCGAUAUUCCAUCCAUGUUUGAAUUUUUUUUCUUGCAUAACAGGAGAUUUCACCUUUUUAUUAUUGGAGAUUUCACCUUUGUGUUUGUAGGCUUAUACUAUGAAACUGAAAGCAGAAGUCCCAGAACCAGAACCGAAAGGGAAGAAUCAAGAACUGAAGAAUAUCUUAUUGAAAGAUAUGUUGAAGAUUCAGAACAUUAGAAGAGUUGGGUACAAAAUAGUAACUAAAACAUACAGUUACAAGGUACAACCAUGGCUUUCUUGAGUAGAGCUGGUAGUAUGCUAAGGCAGAGUGUAAGUAAGCACAUACACAUCAACCAUGAAAUGUCAGUGGCAAGCUUAUCUAUGGGAGGAUUGGAAUGGGCUACAGGUGAUAUGAGCUUGAGAGAACCUUUUAGCGUAUGGGAAACUCUAUGAAGAUGUAUGGAGAUGGAUUAUCAUGGAAUGAUGCAGACGCGACGCUUGAUCUGUCCUCUGGCCUAGACAGAGAAUGGCAAAGAAGAAAAAACCAAUUCCAUGCGGUAUGCAUACACACAAAUGCACCGUUUUGAAGACGAGUUCCCGGACAUUUUCCGACUUUGUAUUGAUGAUGAAGUAGCAGGUGAGUGUUUAUUGUGGUGGAAGGAGUAUCUUCAAAAUGUAUCAUUGGAGAAAGCCGGCUGGUAUCUUGAACCCUUUACGGAAAACAAAUUGUCUUCUUUUGAACUACAAGACAUACGUUUGGAGGCAACAUGGAACGCUACUUUCGGUAUUUUCAAUUCAAAACAAUGGAUGGCUGAUUAAAGGUUUUUUUUUUUUUCAAAUGUUGUAUUAGGGAUACGAGUAAAAGUGGAAGACCUUUGUGUUAACAUCUGUUGUGAAGAAAAGUUUUGAAAUGGUAUGGUUGGCAGUGAGUCAGAGGUGGCCUGUUCGUCUUUACGGUCCAGUUGGUGCAGGCAAAACGGCUCUUUUAGCAACUUAGCCCAUAGUCAAGGGAUUCAAGUUCUAUCUAUUCACAUGGAUGAGCAAAUUGACGGAAAAAUACUUAUCGGGAGUUACGUAUGUGCUGAACAACUGAGACUGGUUCUCUUAAUGAAAAUGAUCUUUAUUUGUUGGAUGAGAACUACUUUUUUGCUAGUAUGUGCUUCGAGGGUUUAGAUUCUUUCUAGAACGAUUUUGGGAUGUAUUUUUGUUUU